rnacentral:rRNA from 1 species
CCUACGGGAGGCAGCAGUGGGGAAUAUUGCGCAAUGGGCGAAAGCCUGACGCAGCGACGCCGCGUGAGGGAUGAAGGUCUUCGGAUCGUAAACCUCUGUCAGCAGGGAAGAACGGUCACUGUGCUAAUCAGCAGUGAAUUGACGGUACCUGCAAAGGAAGCACCGGCUAACUCCGUGCCAGCAGCCGCGGUAAUACGGAGGGUGCGAGCGUUAAUCGGAAUUACUGGGCGUAAAGCGCUCGUAGGCGGUAUGUCAAGUCAAGGGUGAAAUCCCCGCGCUCAACGUGGGAACUGCCUUUGAUACUGGCAGACUGGAGUGUGUGAGAGGAUAGUGGAAUUCCAGGUGUAGGAGUGAAAUCCGUAGAUAUCUGGAGGAACAUCAGUGGCGAAGGCGACUAUCUGGCACAUAACUGACGCUGAGGAGCGAAAGCGUGGGUAGCAAACAGGAUUAGAUACCCUGGUAGUC